GGUUAAGCGACUAAGCGUACACGGUGGAUGCCUAGGCAGUCAGAGGCGAUGAAGGGCGUGCUAAUCUGCGAAAAGCGUCGGUAAGGUGAUAUGAACCGUUACAGCCGACGAUACCCGAAUGGGGAAACCCAGUGUGUUUCGACACAUUAUCAUCACAUGAAUACAUAGUGUGAUGAGGCGAACCGGGGGAACUGAAACAUCUCAGUACCCCGAGGAAAAGAAAUCAACCGAGAUUCCCCCAGUAGCGGCGAGCGAACGGGGAGGAGCCCAGAGUCUGCAUCAGCUUGUGUGUCAGUGGAAGCGUCUGGAAAGUCGCACAACAAAGGGUGAAAGUCCCGUACACGAAGAUGCACAAGUUGUGAGCUCGAUGAGUAGGGCGGGACACGAGAUAUCCUGUCUGAAGAUGGGGGGACCAUCCUCCAAGGCUAAAUACUCCUGACUGACCGAUAGUGAACCAGUACCGUGAGGGAAAGGCGAAAAGAACCCCGGCGAGGGGAGUGAAAUAGAACCUGAAACCGUGUACGUACAAGCAGUGGGAGCCCCACCACCAAAACACUUCCGGGCCGAAAGGCGAUGCGGAUGUCGAGGUGACGGUUGUCAUCGCGUUUUUUGCGAUGAGCAACACACAAAACAAGCAGUGAGUGUUUUGGGGUGGGGUGACUGCGUACCUUUUGUAUAAUGGGUCAGCGACUUAUAUUCUGUAGCAAGGUUAACCGAAUAGGGGAGCCGCAGGGAAACCGAGUCUUAACUGGGCGUUAAGUUGCAGGGUAUAGACCCGAAACCCGGUGAUCUAGCCAUGGGCAGGUUGAAGGUUGGGUAACACUAACUGGAGGACCGAACCGACUAAUGUUGAAAAAUUAGCGGAUGACUUGUGGCUGGGGGUGAAAGGCCAAUCAAACCGGGAGAUAGCUGGUUCUCCCCGAAAGCUAUUUAGGUAGCGCCUCGUGAAUUCAUCUUCGGGGGUAGAGCACUGUUUCGACUAGGGGGUCAUCCCGACUUACCAACUCGAUGCAAACUGCGAAUACCGAAGAAUGUUAUCACGGGAGACACACGGCGGGUGCUAACGUCCGUCGUGAAGAGGGAAACAACCCAGACCGCCAGCUAAGGUCCCAAAGUCAUGGUUAAGUGGGAAACGAUGUGGGAAGGCCCAGACAGCCAGGAUGUUGGCUUAGAAGCAGCCAUCAUUUAAAGAAAGCGUAAUAGCUCACUGGUCGAGUCGGCCUGCGCGGAAGAUGUAACGGGGCUAAACCAUGCACCGAAGCUGCGGCAGCGACACUAUGUGUUGUUGGGUAGGGGAGCGUUCUGUAAGCCGUUGAAGGUGGCCUGUGAGGGUUGCUGGAGGUAUCAGAAGUGCGAAUGCUGACAUAAGUAACGAUAAUGCGGGUGAAAAACCCGCACGCCGGAAGACCAAGGGUUCCUGUCCAACGUUAAUCGGGGCAGGGUGAGUCGACCCCUAAGGCGAGGCCGAAAGGCGUAGUCGAUGGGAAACGGGUUAAUAUUCCCGUACUGGUUGUUACUGCGAAGGGGGGACGGAGAAAGCUAGGUUGGCCGGGCGACGGUUGUCCCGGUUUAAGCGUGCAGGUGGGUGUUUUUGGUAAAUCCGGAACACUGUUAACACUGAGGCGUGAUGACGAGUCACUACGGUGAUGAAGUAACCGAUGCUACGCUUCCAGGAAAAGCCUCUAAGCUCUAGGUAACAAUCAAUCGUACCCCAAACCGACACAGGUGGUCAGGUAGAGAAUACUCAGGCGCUUGAGAGAACUCGGGUGAAGGAACUAGGCAAAAUGGUGCCGUAACUUCGGGAGAAGGCACGCUGGAUUUGGUGAAGUCCCUUGCGGAUGGAGCUGAGACCAGUCGCAGAUACCAGCUGGCUGCAACUGUUUAAUAAAAACACAGCACUGUGCAAACACGAAAGUGGACGUAUACGGUGUGACGCCUGCCCGGUGCCGGAAGGUUAAUUGAUGGGGUAAGCUUUCGGGCGAAGCUCUUGAUCGAAGCCCCGGUAAACGGCGGCCGUAACUAUAACGGUCCUAAGGUAGCGAAAUUCCUUGUCGGGUAAGUUCCGACCUGCACGAAUGGCGUAAUGAUGGCCAGGCUGUCUCCACCCGAGACUCAGUGAAAUUGAACUCGCUGUGAAGAUGCAGUGUACCCGCGGCAAGACGGAAAGACCCCGUGAACCUUUACUAUAGCUUGACACUGAACCUUGAGCCUUGAUGUGUAGGAUAGGUGGGAGGCUUUGAAGCGUGGACGCCAGUCUGCGUGGAGCCAACCUUGAAAUACCACCCUUUAAUGUUUGAUGUUCUAACGUGGGCCCCUGAGCGGGGUUGCGGACAGUGUCUGGUGGGUAGUUUGACUGGGGCGGUCUCCUCCCAAAGAGUAACGGAGGAGCACGAAGGUUAGCUAAUCCUGGUCGGACAUCAGGAGGUUAGUGCAAAGGCAUAAGCUAGCUUGACUGCGAGAGUGACGGCUCGAGCAGGUGCGAAAGCAGGUCUUAGUGAUCCGGUGGUUCUGAAUGGAAGGGCCAUCGCUCAACGGAUAAAAGGUACUCCGGGGAUAACAGGCUGAUACCGCCCAAGAGUUCAUAUCGACGGCGGUGUUUGGCACCUCGAUGUCGGCUCAUCACAUCCUGGGGCUGAAGUAGGUCCCAAGGGUAUGGCUGUUCGCCAUUUAAAGUGGUACGCGAGCUGGGUUUAGAACGUCGUGAGACAGUUCGGUCCCUAUCUGCCGUGGGCGUUGGAAGAUUGAGAGGGGUUGCUCCUAGUACGAGAGGACCGGAGUGAACGCACCACUGGUGUACGGGUUGUGAUGCCAAUUGCAUUGCCCGGUAGCUAAGUGCGGAAGAGAUAACCGCUGAAAGCAUCUAAGCGGGAAACUUGCCUCGAGAUGAGUCUUCCCUGGGACUUUGAGUCCCCUGAAGGGCCGUUGAAGACGACGACGUAGAUAGGCCGGGUGUGUAAGCGCAGCGAUGCGUUGAGCUAACCGGUACUAAUGACCCGAGAGGCUUAACCUU
rfam:Brenneria goodwinii strain OBR1 genome assembly, contig: Contig